UGGCGCAUCGUCUAAUGGUAGGACAAGAGAUUUUGGUUCUCUUUAUCGCAGUUCGAAUCUGUGUGCGCCAACCA
rnacentral:tRNA from 1 species